rnacentral:SRP_RNA from 1 species
GCCAGGUGCGGUGGCGCGUGCCUGUAGUCCCAGCUACUCAGGAGGCUGAGGUGGGAGGAUCGCUUGAGCCCAGGAGUUCUGGGCUGUAGUGCGCUAUGCCGAUCGGGUGUCCAAACUAAGUUCAGCAUCAAUAUGGUGACCUCCCGGGAGUGGGGGCCCACCAGGUUGCCUAAGGAGGGGUGAACCGGCCCAGGUCAGACACAGAGCAGGUCAAAACUCCAGUGCUGAUCAGUAGUGGGAUCGCGCCUGUGAAUAGCCGCUGCACUCCAGCCUGGGCAACAUAGCGAGACCCCGUCUCU